AGCGAACGCUGGCGGCAGGCCUAACACAUGCAAGUCGAACGAACUCUUCGGAGUUAGUGGCGGACGGGUGAGUAACACGUGGGAACGUGCCUUUAGGUUCGGAAUAACUCAGGGAAACUUGUGCUAAUACCGAAUGUGCCCUUCGGGGGAAAGAUUUAUCGCCUUUAGAGCGGCCCGCGUCUGAUUAGCUAGUUGGUGAGGUAAAGGCUCACCAAGGCGACGAUCAGUAGCUGGUCUGAGAGGAUGAUCAGCCACAUUGGGACUGAGACACGGCCCAAACUCCUACGGGAGGCAGCAGUGGGGAAUCAUGCGCAAUGGGCGAAAGCCUGACGCAGCCAUGCCGCGUGAAUGAUGAAGGUCUUAGGAUUGUAAAAUUCUUUCACCGGGGACGAUAAUGACGGUACCCGGAGAAGAAGCCCCGGCUAACUUCGUG
rnacentral:rRNA from 1 species